GAUGAAGAACGUAGUGAAAUGCGAUACGUAAUGUGAAUUGCAGAAUUCAGUGAAUCAUCGAAUCUUUGAACGCACAUUGCGCCCGCCAGUAUUCUGGCGGGCAUGCCUGUUCGAGCGUCAUUACAACCCUCAGGCCCCCGGGCCUGGCGUUGGGGAUCGGCGGAGCCCCCCGUGGGCACACGCCGUCCCCCAAAUGCAGUGGCGGUCCCGCCGCAGCUUCCAUCGCGUAGUAGCUAACACCUCGCGACUGGAGAGCGGCGCGGCCACGCCGUAAAACACCCAACUCUUCUGAAGUUGACCUCGAAUCAGGUAGGAAUACCCGCUGAACUUAAGCAUAUCAAUAAGCGGAGGA
rnacentral:misc_RNA from 1 species